GGCUUUAGCCCAUUAUACGUACAGGGAAAGGGUUUUACCCUUUCAAUAUUCCCUCACCACUUUGAAAAAAAUAGAAAAAGAAAACGAACGCUAGCUGCUGCGUUUCUUUUCCAGCGAAGGAGCAAGGAAGAGAAUAAAGAGUUGAAGGGUUAGACUGUGAGGGGUGUAGGAUGAGAAAGAGGUUUGAGUUUGACCAAAGGAAUUCAUACGGACCAUUCGAGUGACGAGCUUGGUAUUUCAACACGAGUACUGAGAUUUAAAGCUUUGAAAAAGAUGGAGUCAAGCAUGAAGUGCAGGAGAUUUGCUGUAGAAGAUGAAAAAGAAAAAAAGACGUGAAGGUCAUUAAAACAGUCACUAUAACAGUUAAAGAAUCAGAUAGUAUCAGAUAUGUGAAAUCUUUAUUACAUGAUGAGGAGGGAAUACCAGAAUGUCUUCAACUGCUAUUUUCAAAAGAUGUUCGCCUAACAAACGACGAACAAAAGCUAAUGGAUUGUGGCAUUAUAGAAAACUCCACCUUUCAUGCUUAUAUCGACAAUUCAUUCCCGAAGGUAUUUUUUGUGAAGAGAGGCUAAUUGUGCAAUUACAGUUUAUUCAAGGACUUUCGAUACUAUCCAGGAUGUCAAAUAAAGGAUUCGGAUCAAACAAGGAGUAAACUCAAAGCAAUUUUCUCUUAUUCAUAAUCGGAAGUUUCUUGAAGAUGACAAAAUCUUAGGUUUUUACAAAUCCAUAGUGGAUAAACACUUCAUAUGGUUUCCAAUCCAAGUGACAAGUUGCUUAUUUCUAUGGGUUGUUGUAUAUGGAUACUGUGAAGUUCAUGAUUAUUAUGAUCACAUUCUUUCUUCUAUUUUGAAUUUCCAGGGUUCACGCGUAAAGCGCGUGUUCAGGAACUAGUUAUAGAAAAGCAGAGUUGGCUACUCGAUAAAUUCUAUGGAUCUAUUUCUUGGGAAACAAAAAAUUGAAGAUUCGAAGACAUUAUCAGUGUGAUAUCAAUGAAGAGUCUGUCUUAAAGGUGAAGAGUAUAACAAUACAGAUCUUAAUCAAGACGAGUAGUGGAAGUAUUACACUAGAAGUGCACAGGCUGGAGUUGGUCAAGGAUGUGAAGGCUUCUACAGAAGCUAAACAUGACAGUUCAUCUGCAAAAACUUGUGUUUGAGGGAAAAAUCCUAGCUGAUACCUGGGAUUUAGCAAGCUACAAUAUCAGAAUGCAGUCGAACAUUGUUUUUGGUUUUCGUAGUUUCGUUUCUACAGCAAUUAUUUGAUAUUAUGAGUUACCAACAGACAAAUUUGUGUAAGACUAAAGAUGUGGUUUCCAUAUUUCAUUUAUGUUAUCUGUUGUUUUCUUUACUGUAGUAAGCAUUUAUUAUA